rnacentral:lncRNA from 1 species
CCAAUGGUCUCUCCAGAACAUCACACUGGAGAGGGGCCUGCACUUGAAUCCACAGGCCAGUGAGAUUCCUCCGCCUUCUGGUCCUCUUAGCGAUAUUCUCCUAUUUCUUAUGUCAGUUAUAGAUACGGCCUUCAAGAUAAAUGAAAGCGCUCAGGGAACUGUGAAGACUGCCAAGUAGUCAGAUUUAAAAAAAAAGAAAGAGAGAGAUUUCUAUUUAAGAUGUGUAAAGUGGCUCCAUGAGAAAAACGCAAGCUGAAAUGAUUGCAAAUACACCAAAUGGAGCUACCUAAAAUUGUGUGGAAGAAGACUGCCAUCUUGAUAUAGCCGUUUGGUUUUGGAACUAAGCAACUGCAGCAGGCCAAGAAAGAAAAGAAGGACUUGGAUAAUAUAUAAUUCAACUACCCUACGGAAGAAAAACUUCUACUUUCUCUGCCCUGAUCUUUGGGUUGUGGAUUCUUCUUUGAGUGACCGUUGCCUGAGUGUGCUAUAUAAACAUUAUGCCAAUGUUUCCUAAAGUGCCUGCAUUCUUUGGAAAAUUAGUCAUUGGAAUGUUAUUAGGUAUUUGACAGAAAAAUAGACUGCUUGUCAAUUAAGUUCAAAAACUAGCAUUUAAACAUAAUUAAAUGUUCUGGUUUAGAUGUUGUGUUUGGUUGGUAUCUUGUUUACUGUGGGACUUCUCUCAGUAGGAGUCUAGUUAAAUUUCACUAAUUUCAACAGAAAGGCAUUUGAGAUCUUUAACUAAGCCCCAAUUUGAUCACAAAGAAAGGGUCCCUGCUUCAGAUGGCCAGGAAAAUCUUAUAACAAUAGAGGAAGGGCUCUUCCAAAGUCAAUGGCAUUAUGAUCUGGAGAAGAGUUAACAUCAGAUUGUAGAUAUAGGUGUCUGCGUGUUUACGCCUACAGCUGAAAAGAGCAAAAAAUAUUUUCUUCUGAUGAGAUAAUAUGAUAACAAACAAACAAAAACCCUCUUGCUCCAUGGUUUAUUAAGGAGCAGAGCACAUUUUACGAACCAGUUCCCAGGCAUACUUAAAUAGCAG